AAUAAGGAUAUAAAGAAAGUAUUUUUGUAUAGCUAUACAAUGUUUGUUUAAAGCUAAGUGUUAUGACAAAAGAGUCAAAAAGUUUUUAAAAAAAUAAAUAGUUUAUAAAGUAUGGUAUGGUAAGCUAAGAUUAAUUUAUUAUUGCAGAAAGAAAAAACUGUAAACACAUUUAAUGUAGCCUACGUGUACAGUGUUUUAUAAGUCUACAGUAGCAUACAGUAAUGUCCUAGGCCUUCACAUUCACUCACCACUCACUCACUGACUCAUCCAGAGUAACUUCCAGUCCUGUAAGUUCCAUUCGUGGUAAAUGCCCUAUACAGCUGUAUCAUUUUCAAAUCUUUUAUAUGGUACUUUUAAUAUACCUUUUUAUGUUUAGAUAUAUUUAGAUACACAAAUGCUAUUGUGUUACAGUUGUCUACAGUAUUUACUAUAGUAACAUGCUGUACAGGUUUGUAACCUAGGAGUUAUAAGUUGUACCAUAUAGCCUAGGUGUGUAGAAGGCUGUACUAUCAGGGGUUGUGUAAGUACACUCUAGUAUGUUCAUACAAUGAUGAAAUUACCUAACAAUACAUUUCUUAGAACAUAUCCCUGUCAUUAAGCAAUGCAUGACUAUAUUAAGAAACAUGUACUUACAGAAGUGAUACGUCUUAAGAAAAGACAACAAAAAUCCAUUUUAACUAACUUUUUGGUCAUUUAUUGUGUUAGGCAUUAUGUUGUAUGCUUUAAUAAUAUUAUGUUUAUAAUUACAAAUUUGUGCUUCAUUGAUAGGUAGGUAGAUAUUAUCCUCUUGGACCACCUAACCUAAAUUUUUAAGCUCUCUUUGAAACCUUGCUGAUUUUGGAAUAUGAUAUGGUGUUGCACAAUCGAUAACUAGAACAGUGGCCUUAUAGGGGCUGAUCUAGUAUUUGGAAAACAAAUGUAUCCUUCUGGUUUCCUUACUUAUAAUGGAAUUAUCAAAAAUGAUAGUGGUGUUUUGAGUAAUGCCCACUUGCCUAUAUCUCACAGUGUCACUUGGAGGAAGUUGAUGCAGUUUGAGAUUACAACUUUUAUUUCAGUGGUGCAGAUGCUCACAUCUGGAAAGGCACCUCUUUGUUUAUCAGAGACAUAUUCUUUUCAUGCAACAGCUUAUAUGAAGCCUUUCUUAAUGAUUCUAGUCUAUACUGAGCUUUUCCUUUUUCUAAUUUCCUGUAGCUCCUAAUGUAUAUUUUAAGCCUGUGAGUGCUCAGGUCUCACUUGCCUUCGUGUUGUCUUACAUUCUGAACUAGAAUGAACUCCUGAGAUAUACUUGUUUUAUAUUCCUCGCAGCAUGUGUAUUUGUAUUCCUUUCCUAUAACCCUUUAAGAAAUACUUUAUUGACUGCUUAAGGCAUGAGGCCAGUCUUGAUGCAAUAUCUGUCAUCUCAUUGCCAGGAAUACCUUGAUUGUAGAGCUCCUUGCCCCAUUAUGCUGCAUGUGUUUCUGUUCUCAAGCUGCCUACUAGGUCAAAGAGGAUGGCCCUCACAGGUAGAGAAUAAUUCUUCAUGUCAACAUGUGAAUGUUAGUAUACCUGUGUUCUUUAAAAACACUUGUCACAGUGCCUUCUUGAUUCCUGGCGAUUGUGGUGGACUAAGAGUCAAGAGACUAGGUUCUAGUUUCAGCACUGCCAUUAAGCAGAAUUGCAAAUUACUUAACCUGUAUAGGUUUUGGCUUUCUAGUGUAUAAAAUAUGAGAUUUCAACUAAGUGAUCUCAAAGGUUCCUUCUAGCUCUAAAAUUCUAUGAUUUUAUGAAAAUGUGUUCUCCAAAUACUUAAAGCUCAUUGCAGAAGGUAAUGUUUCUUAUAGUGUUUCCAAAGUGUCUUGCCUAUUGUUGUACAGUUAAGGAGGUUGAAAAGUAGAAAAAAAUUUAGUGAUCUGGAAGAAGGAGUUGUAAUACCUGACCUGUAUCUGGUGGCAAAAUACUUACUUUCACAGUUCCUAGGAUAUUCAUAGGGCAGGGUCAUAAGCCUCAUUAAAUCCGCUUGUUUACUGUUUGCUGAAGGGAAUUCUAACACAAUCCAUUUAUCAAUCCAGGUUGCUUGUAAAAUGGAGUGUGAAUGUGUUUGUAAGAAUUUUGCAUGGAAUGUGCACAUAAUAUGGUCACUAUUUAGAAGUAGUGUUUCUUGUGUUCAACAUCUAUAAAAUUUAGUUUUAAUCACUUCUAUAUAUAAACAAUAUAAAAUUUACUUACUGUAAUAUCUAUAUUUUAUUAUCUCCAGAAUAGUGUUAUAUAUUUUAGCUUAAUGAUACUAUAAUAUUACUAGGUGGUAUAGCUGGUGAGACUCCUUUAAAGUGGAUAGGGUUUAUGUGGAUAGCGUUAUAGUAUAGAUUAACAUGCAUGUUAUUCUUUCCUUCCUUGUGAGGUUCUGCUGUAUAUUUUCAGAUAAGCAAAGAGACUUUGGAAAUAGUUCCUGUGAUUUUAAUUAUUUGGACUUUUAAAAUUAAUAUUUUAUGAGUUUUACAUUAAUAGGAUUAUUUUAAAAUUAUAUACUUUCACUUAAUUUUUCUGUCUCAGUAUAACUGUCAUAUGAAUACAUUGUUUUUGAACUUUGAUAAUUUGCUAUGUAUCUAGAUUUCGUGAAUCAGUUCUAUAAACUGUUUUAAGUUUCUCUCAGUAUUAUUUUUGAAAGAAAAAUAAACUAUAUGCUAAAUUUUAUUUCCAUCUAACUUUGUGUAAUGUGUUAAUACUGCUAUUUUACUAAACAUCAAUUUGUUUAUUAAAGUAUUUUAAAAUUGUUUAAUCAAAUGCAUUUUUUAGGUUAAUAGUGUUCCUAUUGUCCAAAUAUAUUCUUAACAUGGGCCAAACCAGAUUAGAGCCAUAUUAAAAAAUUCUUGUUUUGAAAUCCUAUGUAAAUGAUAGCUAUCUGAAUAUGGGCUACUAGAGUCUUAUUAUUAUUGGAGGGUAGUGAUGGAUGGAAAAUAUUGAAGAAAACAGCAUAAUAAUUAUGAUUUAGAAUCCAUGGUUUCGAUAUUUAAAAUAUUUUGUGAGGCUUCUUUUCCAGUGCUCGUAAGAUUCCGAGGCAAGUAAGAAGCUGUUAGAUAUAUAAUUUUCCCUGCAGAACAAUGUGAUUUUUUCAGUUUUUUAUUUUGAAAAUUUUUAAACAUACUGAAAAAUAGAGAACUCCAUAUGACUAUCACUUUUAAAUUUUUAAUCUAUUUUUGAUGGAAAUAUUUUAAAGUAAAUUAUAGAUAUCAUUACAUUUUACUUAAAUACUUUAGUAUGUAUGCAUCUCCAAAAACUGAAGGACAAUUCACUAUAUUAUCAGAAUGUGAUUACUACUCUUAACAAACUUCACAGUCAUUCCUUAAUGUCAGGUACAGUUUUAUCUUCCAUUUUCUUCUUUAUCCUAAAAUAUGAGAAUAUAGAAAUAGAGAUUAAUUAUUCUAAUUGUACUUAAGCUCUCUUUUUCUUUUUUUUGUGACUUUUUUUAGUGGACUUCUCUGUGCCACACUUUCUCUUUCUGUAAAUCCAGCAGCCUAGAUCAUGUGAUUUCUUUGGUCCCUUUUAUCAUAGCCUCUGUCUGACUCACUGGGUAGAACUGGUUGUUGUUAGCUAAAAUCUGAUUUAGGAAACUGCUGGUAUCGAACCAGGUGAAUGUGAUCUCUUUGAUAUAUAUGUACAUCAGGAGAGCAUGUUUCUUAUCUUAUAAAUAGGAAAACAGGGAUUGUGUUUAUUUCAACUUAUAUUUCCAGAAGCUGGUAUAGAGCAUGAAACAUAAUAAGCAUUCAAUAAGUGAUGAGGGCACAAUGAGAAAUUAAAUAGAUUAAUGCAUAAAUGAAUUUGUUAAUCAAUGUUCAGGAGUAACAGGUCAAGCCAACCAAGUAGAGCUGGAUAUACUGUAUAUAGCCAGGUAUAGUAACUAAGUCAUUUGUAGAUUUCUUAAAUUCCCGUUGGGAAAGAUUUACCCAAUGUGUCAAAAGAUCUUUACUAUUUAAUAUAGCCAUUAUGACUAUUUCCUUGCAGAAAACUCUGUUAUCACAUUCACAUAGAGAAACUGACAAUGGGAACUGCUGUGGGUUGAAUUGUACCUUCUCAAAAGCUGUUAAAACAUCAUGAGGAAAAAGCCCUCACAUAUUAAUAUUAACCUUGAAUAUAAAUGGAUUAAAUACUCCAAUUAAAAUACACAGAAUGCCAGAAUGGAUUUUUUUUAAAAAAUGAACCAACUAUAUACUAGUUACAAGAAACUUACCUUGCUGGUAAAGACACUUAUAGAUUGAAGGCCAAGGGAUUGAAAAAGAUAUUCCACGCAAGCGGAAACCAAAAGCAAGCAGGAGUAGCCAUGCUUUUAUCAGAUAAAACAGGCUUUAAAUCAAAAACAGUUAAAAAAAAAAAAAAAAGACAAAGGAGGUUAUUAUAUAAUGAUAAAACAAUUCAACAAGAAGCUAUACCAGUCGUAAAUAUACAUGCCCUGAACUCAGGAGCAGCCAGAUUCAUUAAACAAUAUUACGAGACCUAAAUAAAGAGAUAGCAAUACAAUAAUAAUGGGAGACUUCAACACCCCAUUCACAGCACCAGACAGAUCAUUGAGACAGAAAAUCAGCAAGGAAACUAGACUUAAUUGAACAUUAGAUCAAAAGGAUGAAACAGAUAUUCCAAGAGCUGCAGAAUAUACAUUUUACUCAUCAUCACAGGGAACAUUCUCCAAGAUAGACUGUAUGUUAGGCCACAAAACUAGCCUCAAUACAUUUUAAAAAAUCAAAAUCAUAUCAAGAGUCAUGUCAGACCACAGUGGAAUAAAACUAGAAAUUAAUACCAUGAGUAAUUAUUGAAACUAUACAAAUACAUGGAAAUUAAACAACACAUUCCUCACUGAUCUUUGGAUCAAUGAUGAAAUUCAGAUAAAAAUUUUAAAAUUUUUGAAAUGAAUGAAAAUGGAGACACAACAUACCAAAGCCUUUGGGAUACAGAAAAAAGCACUGCUAACAGGGAAGUUUAUAUCUUUAAGUGUGUACUUCAAAAAAAGAAAUCACAAAUUAACCAAACAUCACAUCUCAAAAAAUUAGAAAAACAAGAACAAACCAUACCCAUAGCUAGCAGAAGAAAAUAAAUAGCAAAGAUCAGAGCAGGACUAAGUGAAAUUGAGACCAAUAAAUAAAUAAAUAUUAAAAUAAAAAAAAUCAACAAAAUGAAAAGUUUGUUCUUUAAAAAGAAAAACUAAAUUGAUAAACUACUGGCUACACUAACCAAGAAUAGAGAAGAUCCAAAUACACAUAAUCAGAAAUUAAAAAGGAGACAUUACAACUACUACCACAGAAAUGCAAGAGAUCAUCAGAGACUUCUGUGAACAACUAUAUGCUUAUAAACUAGAAAACCUAGAGGAAAUGGAUACAUUCCUAGAAACAUACAACCUCCCAAGAUUGAACCAGGAAGAAAUAGAAAUCCUGAAGAGAUCAAUAACAAAGUAGUGAGAUAGAAUCGGUAAUAGAAAAAUCUUAACAAACAAAAAAAGCCAGUAACCAGAUGGAUUCAUUGCCAAAUUCUACCAAAAGUACAAAGAAGAACUGGUACCAAUCCUACUGAAACUGUUCCAAAAAAUCAAGGAAGAGGAAAUUCUCCCUAGUUCAUUCUACAAAGCCAGUGUGACCCUUAUACCAAAGCUAAACAAGGACAAAACAAAAAAGAAAACGUUGGAUCAAUAUCCCUGAUGACCAUAGAUGCAAAAUCCUCAACAAAAACUAGCAAACCAAAUCCCACAGUGCAUUAAAAAGAUAAUACACCAUGAUCAAAUAGGUUUCAUUCCAGGGAUGCAAGUAUUCUUGUGAUGUGAUUCAUCACAUAAGCAGAAUUAAAAACAAAAACCAUAUGAUUAUACAUGCAGAAAAGAAGCAUGUGAUAAAAUUCAGCAUCUCUUCGUGAUAGAAACCCUCAACAAACUAGACGUAGAAGGAACAUACCUCAAAAUAACAAAGGCCAUACAUGCCAACAUCAUACUAAAUGGGGGAAAGUUGAAAGCAGUCUCCCUACAAACUGGAAUAAGACAAGAAUGCCCACUUUUACCACUCCUAUUUAUCAUAGUAGUGGAUAGCCUAGCUAGAGCAUUCAGGCAAGAGAAAGAAAUGAAAUACAUCCAGAUUGCAAAAGAAGAAAUCGAAUUAUCUCUAUUUGCCAACAAUAUGAGCUUAUAUUUAGAAAACCCUAAAAACUCCUGCAAAAAACUCUUAAUUUUGAUAAAUGAAUUUAGCAAAGUUUGAGGGUAUAAAAUCAAUGUAUAAAAAUCAGUAGUAUUUCUAUACACCAAUAACAGUGAAGCUAAGAACCAAAUCGAAAAGGCAAUUUUAUUUACAGUAACUAAAAAAAUGAAAUAAAAAUCUAAGAAUAUAUUUAACCAAGAAAGUGAAAGAUCUCUACAAGGAAAACUACAAAACAGUGGUGAAAGAAAUUGUAGAUGACACAAACAAAUGCAAAAACAUUCCAUGCUUAUAGAUCAGAAGAAUUGUUAAAAUGAGCACAGUGCCCAAAACAAUCUGCAGAUUCAAUGCAAUCUCUAUCCAAAUACAAGCAUCAUUUUUCACAGAAUUAGACAAAACCAUCCUGAAAUUCACAUAGAACUAAAAAGGUGACCUGAAUAGCCAAAGCAACCCUAAGCCCAAAGAACAAAGCUGGAGGCAUCACAUUACCUGACCACAAAUUAUAGUGCAAGGCUAUAGUAACCAAAACAGCAUGGUUCUGGUAUCAAAAUAGACACAUAGAUCAAUGGAACAGAAUAGAGAACCGAUAAAUAAAGCUACAUAUCUACACCCAAGUGAUUGUUGAUAGAGUCAACAAAAAUGCACACUGGGGAAAGGACACCCUGUUCAAUAAAUUGUGCUGGGAAAAUUGGAUUGCCAUAUACAGAAUAAUGAAAAUGGACCCCUAUCUCUCACCAUAUACAAAAAUCAACUCAAGAUGGAUUAAAGACCUAAAUUUAAGGGCUGAAACUAUAAAAAAUACUAGAAGUAAAACAAGGGAAAGCUCUUGUGGACAUUGGUCUAGGUAAAUAAUUAUAGACUAAGACCUGAAAAGCUUAAGCAACAAAAAUAGACAAGUGGGAUUUAAUUAAACUGAAAAACCUCUGCACAGCAAGAGAAACAAUCAACCAAGUGAACAGACAACCUGCAGAGUGGAAGAAAAUAUUUGCAAACAAUGCAUAUGACAAAGGGCUAAUAUCCAGAAUCUAUAAGGAACUUGACAAGAAAAAAAAAAACCCUAUUGAAAGAUGGGCAAAAGACAUGAACAGAUACCGUUUAAAAUAAGACAUAAAAAUAGCCAAUAAAUAUAUGGAAAAAAUGCUCAACAUCACUAAUCAUCAGAGAAAUGCAAAUUAAAACCACACUGAGAUAUCAUCUUAUGCCAAUCAGAGUAGCUAUUAUGAGAAAGACAAAAAAUAACAUGUUUUCUAAAACCCAGAUGCAUACAUGACCAAAGAGCAAUUUAUGACCAAAAUAUUUGAGCAUCCUGCUUCACAAACUGUUACAUAUAGGCUUUUUUUUUCAGUUAGUGUGGGAAAAUGGCAUUUCUGAAUUUUGAAUUACUCCUUGAACUGUGUAAAUUAAAUGAAUUAAAAGGUGCCCUUUUUUACUGGCUCUUAAAAAUCAUGGAACUCCAAGGGGCUAUGCAGGUAGCACUAUUGCUAGUGACCUCAAAUACUAUCUUUGAAUUUAAUAGAAUAUGUAGUUAGUGUAAACCAAGUAGGCUACUUCCAAUGCUGGUUAGUUGUGUUUUAUGUAGACACAACCUAUGUAUGUUGAACCUUUUUAUAAUAUACCAAUGACAGUCAAAUUAUAUCAGCUAACAUUUUGUGAGUGUCUGCUGUUUACAGAUAUACCAAGCUCUGAUAAUGCUUACUGAUAUACUGAAAAGUCUUGAUUAGGUUCAGAUUUGAAUCAGACAAAGAGGAAGACCAUUAAGCCAAUGCAAUCCAGAUUCCCCUCUUCCAUUGCUUUUUUAAUUUUGUUAAUAUACACACACAGGUUGUGUGUCUUGAUUAGAUUGGAAAUUGAGAGUAUCAUAGGUUUUUUCUUAUAAUCCUUGAGAACUUGUGUCAAAAGGACAAGUUGGAAAUAGACUGUAAUUGGAAAGAUUUUCUAUAAUAGGUGAAGGUAUUUUUAGUAAAGAGGCAACUGCUAGCCUAUGAACUAUUGAGGGAAUUUUCCCCAGAAGUCUGGAAAGCCUAUUAAGUCACAGUCCUAUUUAAUCAAACAGGCUUUGAUGUUUUGCUAAAAGAACCAGGUUAGAAUAGAAAAGCAGAUCAUGAGGUCAAAAUGCUAUUAUCAUUUAGAAUAUUACUAAAUAUACAUCAAGGUUUUGUUUUGAUACUUUAAUUUAUGGCUGUAUUUAAGGCAGUCAUAGUCUUGGUCCUAAUGGGGCAGUAGAUGGAAUGACGCAGUAAUAGAGGCACAGCUUUUCCGGUGGUUAUCCAAUAUAAUGACUUCAUGAGCAUGUCACUAAGUCUUUCACUCUCAAAAAAUAUGAAAGGAUAAAAUUUUCAGUUUGUAAAUAUGAAUAGAUAGUUAUAAGAUCUAGGAGGAAAAAAUGAUCCAACAUACAAAGCAGAUUAUUUUUAAGGAUAAGCACAUGUUGCUUCCAUCAAAACAGAAACUGCUUUUUACAGCUCACUAAAAGAUAAAAGAUAAACUGUAGUUUUGAACACUAUAUCUUCAUGCUUAUUUUAAUAAACCUCAUAUUUGAAAAGUAAGCCAGCACCUCUUUAAGGUUCUGUUACUUUGUCUACACGGAAUUGUGAUAAAGCACUAGUAUCAUUUGUAGGGUUUUAUUAUUGGCAAACAAGGCAGGGAAAUUGAGGAGAAACAAAAAAGUACUAUAUGAUAAUACAAAUCACAAAUUUGCAUCAAAACAUAGUAGCAUCUCUAAGGCUACAUCCAUGUUUUAACAGGUAUGAGUGAUUCUUGUGAACAUAAACAUGUUGCUGCUUCAUUUGGUCAUAUAGUGGUUUCAUAAGUAUGCAUGUAAUUUAUUGUGAAGAUUUUUGCCUUAUGGUAUCUUGUGGAAAAAUAGGAAAAUAUUAUUCCCUAUUCAAAUAAGAUAAAUGAUGGCUUUUUGUUUUAAAGAAAAGCUUUAAAGUUGCUGAAUACAUAUAUAUACUCUUCCCAGUGGGUUUUUCUUUUUUAUUGAUUGAAGACCUUUUAUUUUUUUGUAAAACAGCUAACUACAAUGCUGUUCAUAUUGCAAAGUAACUGGCCUUUUUCAGUUUCUUGUGAAUCCAUUCAGUUUCAAGGUCUUCUCUCUUUAUGCGUGAUAUUUUCUGGAACAAUUUAUGAAGUUUAAAAAGUGGUGUCUAGCUUGCCAUUUUUAAAAGUCAUGAAUAGUGACUGUCUUCCUAGUAUAAUUUUCAUCAGUCUGUCAUUAUGAGACCUUAAUGGACACAUUUCUCAUUACAGCAAGGUGUGCUAAUUAAAAAGAUUUAAUUGUACAAAAUUGUCUAAAUUAUAAGGUGGUAUAUUGUACAACAGGAAAAAUUAGUUUACUUAAUAUUGUUCUUCAUAAGCGACCUCAUUUUGAGAGCUGUAUAUGCAUCUAUUCUCUCAUGUGAAUCUUCAUUGUGGACAUAAAAUAGUGAACAAAUGUGAUUUAAUGUGUGGUCACAUCCCAGUGGACAGUGACAUUUGUUCACAUUAGUGUCCUGCUUCUUUCUCUGCCAGCUCCAAAUGUUCUUCUCCCUGUCUUCAGCUUACAUUCUCCUACUUCUUAUAUCAACAUCGUAUCAAGCAUUGAGAAAUGCUUCCAUUUGAGCCAGUCUGGCUGCUUGCUACUCAGGAUUCUCGGUUGCGUGAGAAGCAGGAAAGCAGCAGAUUUUACCCUUGUUGGGAAAGAGGCCCUUUACGUCUUUCCAUCAACUUUUACUCUGUCACUCAGUCCUCCAUAAACGGACAAACCAGGAACUAGUUGGAUUAGGGUGUUAGUCACCAGUCAGCUAGUUUGCUUUUGGUACAAAAGUGAUUGAAUCAUUUUCUUACCAAAUCUCCCCUUCCUCUUCUUACUCUCUUUUUCUCUAUUUAUUGAAUCAUCACUUACUCAGCCAGUUACACUGUUUUCAGAGUUGUCUUUGACUCUCUUUCUCUCAACCCUCUUAUCCAGUAACUUGUGGAUCUCUUCUUUGUCUCCCUUCUGCUCACCACUGUCCUAGUCCGAGUUCCUGUUGAUUGCCUGUAUUGUUAUAUUCUCCUAAAUGGACUCUCUGCAUCCAUUUCCUCCUUAUGAUGCUGCCAGUGCUGAUAUUAUUAUUCUUUGCCAAAAAAAACCUUCCAUGACAUCUAUUUGCUUACAAAAAUUGUGCCCCACCUUCUUAGCAUGGUUUCCAAGGCUCUCUGGAAACUGAUGCAAACCUUUCUUUCUUUUUUUUUUUUUUCCUGGCUUGUGUUGUGUUUCCACCAACUUCUCCGCCCUCAGCACACACUGACACAUGCUCUGGUUGCCCUCUUGUAUGUUUCUUCUUCCCUGUCUCCAUCUGUGGAAGUCUUAGAAAUUAUUCAGUACCCAACUUAAAUGUUGCUUCUUUCUCUGGGUCUCCCUGUUAGAAAUAGCCUUUCCUUGCUGUAAAAUUUCAUAGACUUUUAUGCUUUUGUCAGAGUAUAUGUUACCUCUAGGCCUGUAGAUGUGCUUAUGCCAUCUCCCUUUCUGCUAUGUGAGGCAUAUGGAAAAUAACUCCGAACUUCUGGUCAGAUUGAUUUAGGUUCAAAUCUCAGCUUUGCCAGUUACUAGAAUUUAUUUGUUUUACAUAGAGCACCUACCCUUACUCAUCCUUUUUUCUCAUUCUCAAAAGAUCUUAAAAUAACUUCUUAGGGUCAUGAGGAUUAAAUGAUUUGACUUAUGUAAAGUAUUUAAUGCUCUGACAGCAAGUAUUUGAUAAGUAUGCAUUCAUUUUUCUUUUUCUUUCUUUUUUGAAGUGUAUAUUUCCUGUUUAUUAUGCUUGGCACUCAGGUAUCUGUUAAGCUUGGCACUCAGGUAUCUGUUAAAAAAAUUUAGUUCAGUUUGUCUAAUUAUUAUCAGUUAAAUCAGUUAAUUUAUUCAAACCAACUGUGCAAAGGGCCUUAGAGUAGGUGCUGUUACGGAUACAAAAAUGUAUAUAUGACAUUAUCCCGGUCCCUCAACCCCUAGGAGCCUACAGCCUUUAACUGUGGAGCCAAAGCAUAAAUUUAAAUGAGCUAAAUAACUUUGUACAUUGUUAAAAUAGCAAAUUCAUGUGGACAAGGUGAAAACCCAGUAAAUUGCCUUGUGCUUAAAAGGAUCUGUAGUAGUACAUUCCCAUACUGCUAUGAAAAAAAAAAAAAAGAGGUUUAAUUGACUCACAGUUCUGCAUGGCUGGGGAGGCCCCAGGUAACUACUAUCAUGGCAGAAGGGGAAGCAAAUAUGUCCUUCUUCACAUGCUGGCAAGAGAGAAGUGCUGAGGGAAAGGGUGAAAAGCCCCUUAUAAAACCAUCAGAUCUCAGGAGAAUUCAUUCACUAUCACAAGAACAGCAUGCGGGAACCGCCCCCAUGAUCUAAUCACUUCCCAGGGGUCCUUCCCUCAACACAUGGGAAUUACAAUUCAGAUUACAAUUCAAGAUGAGAUUUUGGGUGGAGACACAGCCAAACCAUUUCAGGUUCUACAUAUAAAGGCCCUUCUCUUAUAACUCACCAGAGAGAGGAUUUCACAGGGUUCUUUCUUUCUGUAUGUAAAUACAUAUAUAUAUAUUUGGAGAUGGGGUCUUAACUCUGUUGCCCACAAAAUCACAGGGUUUUUUUUAAUCAUUAGCUUUACCCAUCCAUCUGGAAAAAUAAAGCGGUGUAAAAGCCUGCAAGCAUCAGGAAGCAAAGAAGACUGGAAGUACAGGCUUAACUAAGUAUAGAACUUGGGAAUAUGGCAUACCUGUGUACAAAUCUGGCCAGGUGAAAUAGGAAGGUGAUCUGGCCAGGUGAAAUAUGAAGGUGAUUUUCUAGACGGGCUGCUUAGUAUAUGAAACUUGUGUUUUUCAUGAUCAUACUCAAAGGCUAAUUUGCUUUUCAUCUUCAUUCUAUUCUUUAAUCAAGGCUGUGACUUAUUGACCCCUCUGUCAUAAAUUGGGGAGAACAUGUAUAUACAUGUAUGUAGCAACUUUAAAGGCUCUUCUUCAAAACAGAAAGCAAUCAUUUAUUUUAAUAGGGCAUAAUAUAUUCCUAUUUUUUCAAUAACAUACCAUAAUGCAAAAAUCUUAAUAAGUCAAAUGCAUAUUUACGAAAAUAACUAUAUGACAAAAAGGGAAUGAAGCAUGGAAUGAAGCAGCAGCAGCAUGUUUAUGUUCACAAGAAUCAUUCAUAUCUGUUAAAAAUAUAUGUAGCCUCACAGAUGCUACUGUGUUUUGAUACAAAUUUGUGCUUUAUAUUAUUAUACAGUACUUUUUUGUUUCUCCUCAAUUUCCUUACCUUGUUUGCCAAGAAUGGGGUUCUUGGGGAGGCUAAUACUGCGAUAGAAUUAGGAGGGCAAGGGCUUUUUGGAGGCAGGAAAUCUAAUGCCCAUGUAAGAUAAAAGGGGAGGAAGCAGGAUUGAACAGGGAAGGCUUCCAGAGCGGGAUGUUGAUCUGACACUUGUGAAAGGAAAGGGAACCAGAGGCAGAAUUGAGGAGGGAGAGCUUCAGACAUGAUGCAGAUCUGACAAAAUCUCAGUGCCCGCUCCCGACAUUGGGGAGCUCCAGAGCAAAGCUUGCGCAUUAGGAGAGACCCCAGCUAUGUAGAAAUAGUCACACCCUCUCCAUGAUCAACUGCCCAGGAAGAGUGUGGCCUUGGUGCACACGCUGUGGUAGGACCCAGUGGUCCUGCCCCUAGUGGGUGUCGACUUAUUGCAUUCCUUACAAGUAAAGGGCCACUUCUUUCUUGAUGGGAUUACACCUCAGUGGCUGCAACACUACCUUUUCAAUCACAAAGUAUCAAAAUGGAAAGCCUGUAAAAGCGUUAGUUAAAAUUAGUUGUUUAUUGGAGGAGUCGAGAAGUUCACUAAAAUAACAAAACCCUUGGACAGGCUGGCUGGCCUUAGUGAGUGUUGAGUGGCUUACGUUGUUUGGGAAUAUAUUUUUCAUCUGUUAAAUGUCGAUAAUGACAUCCAUCUUCCCUAUCUACCUCACAAAGUUAUAAAAAAAUGUAAUGUCUAAGAAAGGCAAGAAAACCAUGUGAGAGUCAAUACAGUGGAAUAGAAAAAUCUCUGUGUCAAGGUGAAGGGAAGCAGGUAAGGCUGUCCCUUGUACUCAUGGAGAAGGGAAAUGAUGGCUACAUUCAGAAAAAGUGCAUAAAAGGACAAUCAUUUGAAAUGCAUUAAGGAGUCUGGGCGUGGCAGCUCACGCCUGUAACCCACCAUUUUGGGAAGCUGAAGCAGGAGGAUUGCUUGAGCCCAGGAGUUCAAGACCAGCCCAGGCAAAAAAGUGAGACCCCAUCUCUAUUUUAAAAAUAUAAAAAUAAAUGCAUAGGGAGUAACUAUUUAUAUAUUCCUGUGGCUAGUCUUACUACAACGCAAAUAAUCACACCUACCUGAUCCUGGUAUAAAUCUUGAGUUCCAUAGACAGGCCUGUUUAAAACUAGGGGUAUUACAUAUAUUUACAAUUAAAAUGAAAAAUAUUAGCCAUUUGUUUUUGAUUUCACAGAAAAAAAAAGGUAAUAUAUAAAAAAAUUUGAACCAAAACAAGUUUUAUUUUAGAUUAUAGAUUGGCAACUUUUUCUGUAAAGAGCCAGAUAGCAAAUAUUUUAGGCUUUUAUGAGCUCUGUGGGUCACAUAUGGUUCUCUGUUACAUUUUCUUCUCUUUUUCUUUCCCUUUACAAUUCUAUAAAAUGUAAAAAUUAUUCUUAGCUUUAGGGUGUAUAAAAAUAGGACCUAGACUGUGACCCCUACUAUAGAUUUAGUUCUGCACAAACUCAUUUUUGACUUCAACAUAAUUUCAGAAGUUGACAGAACCCUUAAUUCUAUAUUGUAUUUUUGAAAAAAGAGAAUGGAAUUUGGAAGUCAUAUCAGCCAGGAUUCGAAUCCUUCUUUCAUCCUUUACAAGCUCUGUGACUUGGGCGAGUUAUUUAACUGCUGGGAUGCUCAGCUUUCUUAUAUGUAAAAUAAAACCAGUGCUGCCAGGCUGGAUGUGUUUGUCUAGGUUUAAUGAAAUAAUUUGAGAAAGGUACUUUGCCCAGUGAUUAUUAGAUAAUAGAACCUCAAAAGAUAUUACUUCAUUUCUUCCCUUCCUUUACUUAUUUGAUGGUAUUUUCUAGCCUUCCCUCCCCCACAUCUCCUUUGGUCUAGCAAAAUUCUAGACUGUCUUUCUCUACUGAGUUAUCUUAGUAGAACUCUCAUUGUGACCUAAUUGUAGUCUGUAGGGGUGGAUAGAAAACUUCUCUUCCACGCUUCUCUGAAGGGUCACUGGAAUGAGCUGACAGUAUAGUAACAGGAAAAAAAAAAAAAGGCCUACAAAUUUAUUAUGUACAUGGACACGGGAGUCCUGAAAAUAUGAGACUCAAAGAAGGUCCAGAUGGUUGAGGCUUAAAUACCCUCUUCAUAUGGAAGAGGGAAGUGGGGAAGUAUAUGCAAUUUUAGAAGCAAAUGACUUUUAGGGGAAGUGAAUGAGCCCAAACAACAGACUACUGGCCUCGGACAAAGUUGUUCUGAGCUCUGGGGGACAUUGCAGCACAUUGUGGGAAGCUGAAGGGUGGAACUUCAUUAUGAACACAAGUUGUCUUAAUAUGUAGAUAAAGUCUUUUAGGUAAUCUCUUGGAACUGCCCUCAGAAGAAUAAAAGCCUGUCUGGGUGUGGUUAUGACUUUUAGUCUUUUCUUUGGUGACUAAUCUUUCCUGGUUAUUUGAUGAGAUUCCUAGGGAAGGAGUUUUAAGGCAAUUGCAUUUCUAGGCCGGGCACAGUGGCUCACGCCUGUGAUCCCAGCACUUUGGGAGGCCAAGGGAGGCAGAUCAUGAGGUCAGGAGUUCCAGACUAGCCUGGCCAACAUGGUGAAACCCCGUCUCUACGAAAAAUACAAAAAUUAGCUGGGCGUGGUGGCACACGGCUGUAAUCCCAGCUACUCAGGAGGCUGCGGCAGGAGACUCACUUGAACCCGGGAGGCGGAGGUUGCAGUGAGCUGAGACUGUGCCACUGCACCACUCCUACCUGGGCAACAGGAGCGAAACUCCCUCUCAAAAAAAAAAAAAAAAAAAAGACAGUUGCAUUUCUUCUGGAAGAACUUCCCUAAAUCAGAUGAUGGAACUUCAGAGAGAGCCCCUCCUGCUGCUUCUGGAAAGAAAGAGGACCAUAGAGACUUUCAUGUGGGUCCAUGUGAAGAGACCACCAAACAGGCUUUGUGUGAGCAAUAUGGCUGUUUAUUUCACCUGGGUGCAGGCGGGCUGAGUCCAAAAAGAGAGUCAGCGAAGGGAGAUAGGGGUGGGACCGUUUUAUAGGAUUUGGGAAGGUAAUGGAAAAUUACAGUCAAAGGGGGUUGUUCUCUGGUGGGCAGGGGCGGGGUCACAAGGUGCUCAGUGGGGGAGCUUCUGAGCCAGGAGAAGGAAAUUCACAGGGUUAAUCACUCAGUUAAGGUGGGGCAGGAACAAAUCACAAUGGUGGAAUGUCAUCAGUUAAGGCAGGGCAGGGCCUUUUCACUUUUGUGAUUCUUCAGUUACUUAGGCCAUCUGGGCGUAUACGUGCAACUCACAGGGGAUGCGAUGGCUUGGCAUGGGCUCAGAGGCCUGACAUUCCUGCUUUCUUAUAUUAAUAAGAAAAAUAAAACAAAAUAGUGUAGAAGUGUUGGGGCGGUGAAAAUUUUUGGGGGUGGUAUGGAGAGAGAAUGGGCGAUGUUUCUCAGGGCUGCUUCAAGCGGGAUUAGGGGCGGCGUGGGAACCUAGAGUGGGAGAGAUUAAGCUGAAGGAAGAUCUUGUGGUAAGGGGUGAUAUUGUGGGGUUGUUAGAAGAAACAUUUGUCGUAUAGAAUGAUUGGUGAUGGCCUGGAUACGGUUUUGUAUGAAUUGAAAAACUAAAUGGAAUAAGAGAAGGAGAAAAACAGGUAUAAAAAGUCUAAGAAUUGGGAGACCUAGGACAUCUGAUUAGAGAGUGCCUAAGGAGAUUCAGCAUAGUCCUGCCAGCAAAGAUUAUUUAUUUACUUCAAGAGUUUAGAGUGGCAGUUUGGGGAUAGCACCAGGAGAUAUCAGCUGUGAUGGCUUGGAGAAACAGUGUAAACCGGCAGUGUAAACAAGAGCAGGGCAUGUGUGAGUAGUUGAGAAUGGUGAAUAGGAGUAUGACUAGACAAAAGAUAGUAGGGAUGACAAGUUUUUUUGGGGCACAGUCUAAGUUGGUCUGGUGUCGAAUGAGACUGGGGCCUAAUAAAAAGGAGCGUCUAUACAGGAGCUUAAAUGGGCUGUACCCUGUAGCAUUCUAAGGACAGGCCUGAAUUCUGAGAAGGGAAAGUGGUAGAAGUAUUGUCCAGUCCUUUUUAAGUUGGUGGCUGAGCUUGGUGAGGUGUGUUUUUAAAAGACCUUUAGUCCGUUCUACUUUUCUUGAAGACGGAGGACCUUAAGGGAUCUAAAGGUUUCACUGAAUACUAAGAGCCUGAAAAACUGCUUGGCUGAUUUGACUAAUAAAGGCUGGUCUGUUAUCAGACUGUAUAGAGGUGGGAAGGCUAAACUGAGGAAUUAUGUCUGACAGAAGGAAAGAAAUGACUGUGGUGGCCUUCUCAGACCCUGUAGGAAAGGCCUUUACUUAUUCAGUGAAAGUGUCUAUUUAGACUAAGAGGUAUUUUAGUUUUCUGACUCGGGACAUGUUGAGUAAAGCUAAUUUGCCCGUCCUGGGUAGGGGCAAAUCCUGGAGCUUGAUGUGUAGGGAAGGGAGGGGACCUGAAUAAUCCCUCAGGAGUAGUAGAAUAGCAGAUGGAACACUGAGAAGUUAUUUCCUUGAGGAUAGAUUUCCACUAUGGAAAGGAAAUGAGAGGUUCUGAGAGGCGGGCUAGUGGCUUGUACUAUAGCAUAGCCUGCCUUUGCUGGUGUGUGGCGAUUAGGCCUGGUGGAACUGCCAUCAAUAAACCAAGUGUGUUCAGGGUGAGGAAAAGGAAAGAAGGAAAUAUGGGGAAAUGGUGUGAAUAUCAGGUGGAUCAGAGAGAUACAGUCAUGGGGGUCAGGUGUGGUAUCAGGAAUAAUGUGGGAGGCCAGAUUGAAGUCUGGGCCAGAAACAGUGGUAGUUGUGGGACUUAAAGAGUGAGUUCAGCUGAAGGAGCCAGGGAGCAGAACGUAUAUGCGUCAGGUAUGAGGAAGAAAAUAGAUUUUGGAAGUUAUGAGAAAUGUAGAGAGUGAGUUGAGCAUAGUUUGUGAUUUUUUAGGGCCUCUAACAGUAUUAAAGCAGCGGCAGCCGCUGCAUGCAGACAUGAGGGCUAGGCUAAGACAGUAAGGCCAGGUUAUUUGGACAGCAAGGCUACACGGUGUGGUCCUGGCUCUUGUGUAAGAAUUCUGACCACACUAACCAUGCCUAGGAAGGAAAGGAGUUGUUGUUUUGUAAGGGAUUGAGGUUUUGGAGAUUAAUCGGACAUGAUCAGCAGGGAGAGCAUGUGUGUUUUUAUGAGAAUUAUGCCAAGAUAGGUAACAGAUGAGGAUGAAAUUUGGGCUUGACUGAAGUAAUGGGGGCUGUCUGUGAAGCCUUGCGGCAGUACAGCCCAGGUAAUUUGCUGAGCCUAAUGUGUGUCAGGGUCAGUCUAAGUGAAGGCAAAGAGAGGCUGGGAUGAAGGGUGCAAAGGAAUAGUAAAGAAAGCAUGUUUGAGAUCCAGAACAGAAUAAUGGGUAGUAGAGGGAGGUAUUGAGGAUAGGAGAGUAUAUGGAUUUGGCACCACGGGGUGGAUAGGCAAAACAAUUUGGUUGAUAAGGCGCAGAUUCUGAACUAACUUGUAAGCCUUGUCUGGUUUUAGGACAGGUAAAAUGGGGGAAUGGUAAGGAGAGUUUAUAGGUUUUAGAAGCCCAUGCUGUAGCAGGCGAGUGAUAACAGGCUUUAAUCGUUUUAAAGCGUGCUGUGGGAUGGGAUAUUAGCGUUGAGUGGGGUGAGGGUGAUUAGGUUUUAAUGAGAUGGUAAGGGGUGCAUGAUCGGUCACCAAGGAGGGAGUAGAGGUAUCUUAUACUUGUGGGUUAUGGUGGGGAAAUACAAAAGGAGGACGCAAAGGAGGCUUUGGAUUGGGAAGAAGGGCAGCAAUGAGAUGCGGCUAUAGUCCAGGAAUAGUCAGGGAAGCAGAUAAUUUGGUUAAAAUAUCUCGGCCUAAUAAGGGAACUGGGCAGGUGGGGAUAACUAAAAAAGAGUGCUUAAAAGAGUAUUGUCUAAGUGGGCAGCAGAGUUGGGGAGUUUUAAGAGGUUUAGAAGCCUGGCUGUCAAUACCCACAACAGUUAUGGAGGCAAGGGAAACAGGCCCUUGAGAAGAAGGUAAUGUGGAGUGGGUAGCCUUCGUAUUGAUUAAGAAGGGGACGGACUUACCCUCCACUCUGAGAGUUACCUAAAGCUUGGCGUCCGUGAUGGUCUAUGGGGCUUCCGAGGCAAUCAGACAGCAUCAGUCUUCAGCCGCUAAGCCAAGAAGGAGUCAGUCAGGGAGCCUUGGGCCAGAGUUCCAGGGGCUCUGGGAGUGGCUGCCAGCUUUUCGUGAUUAUUUGAAUCCUACUUGAAUCCUACGAAGACCUCCAAGAACAUUUCUCAUUGGUUGGAAAACAGCAAGUGUUGUUGGAGAGAUUUCUUUCUUAGAGUGCAUGCUCCUCAAGUGAUUGAGAGUAAAAGCUCUAGAGUCAGAAUUGCCAUAGAUUCCUGACUUCAUUUUACUACACAAGCCACAUAACCUCACUAAACUUCAGUUUCCAGAUGAAUAAAAUGGAGAUAAGGGGACUUACAGCAUCAGCGGAUGUAAGGCACUUAGCAUACUUCUUGGUGCAUAGUAGGCACCUCAUAAAAUU